UACGUAGGGUGCAAGCGUUGUCCGGAAUUAUUGGGCGUAAAGAGCUCGUAGGCGGUUUGUUGCGUCGGCUGUGAAAUCCCGAGGCUCAACCUCGGGUCUGCAGUCGAUACGAGCAAACUAGAGUGUUGCAGGGGAGACUGGAAUUCCUGGUGUAGCGGUGAAAUGCGCAGAUAUCGGGAGGAACACCAGUAGCGAAGGCGGCUCGCUGGGCCAUUCCUGACGCUGAGACGCGAAAGCUAGGGGAGCGAACAGG
rnacentral:rRNA from 1 species